UCAACAUCCGGUAAUAGAAACAGGUCGCCAUUUUGUCGUCUUUUAACACUGAAAGAUGGAAGUUGCAGUGUAGUCGUUUGUUUCUUUUAUCUUCUCAAUGUUUGGUAAUUGGCAACAGCUCGGCCUGGGGGCCGUUCCCCCACCCUUUUUCGCGCAACCUAAUAUGAUGUACCCACUUUAUCCUGGUGCACAGGAAGCCACAGCGACCAGCGGUCAACCUCAUCAAUGGAAUACGGGCGGCCAACUUCCCCCCAUGGUCUUCCCGUCUUUGAAUCCACUAUCAGUCGUAGCUUCAACAGCUUCUGCUUUAGAACAACACGCCAAUACCGCUGCUGCUGGAAGCGUUAGUAACAUUUUAGCAUCUGCUGGAUGUCCUCCAGUUCCUCCGCUACCUUCUAAUCCAGCACCACCUAAACCCCCAGCUCCUCCAACCGAAGAGAAACCCCCAUUACCUCCAGAUCCACCACCUCCAGACGAAGAUUCCAAGCAAAAACUGACUGCUAAAAACCCAGAAGAGGAACGAAGAAUGGAGAAACUAAAGCAGCAAGCUGCCCAGUGGCAGCAGCAGAAAAAACAGAUUGAUGAUGCAGCAGCUCAGCAGCAGUUGCAGUUUCAGCUCCAACAGCAGCAGCAGUUUCACCAGAUGUGGCUGGCUGCUGCCCAAUACAUGACACCACCGGCUGCUGACCUGAUGGCUGCACUGCCUCCGUCCCAUCCUCCGCUACCUCCAGUCACAGUACCCACUCUCCCUCAGCAUACGAAGCCACCUCCUAUACCCAGUGUGGCUCCCCGAUCGACAGUUCAGUCAAGCAUACCUGUGUCGGCUACAGUUCAGUCAAACACUCCUGCAUCAGUGACAGCAACAGCAGCAUCGAUUGUAGCCGCGGCGACAAUAACAUCAGGAUCAGUACCUUCUAACACAGCUGCUGAGAAGGUAGCAACUAAACCUGCUCCAGUCUGGAACAAACCUACAGCUCCAAAAGAUAAAGAUUUUGCUGGAGUUACACCAUACAAGAUGGAUUCUGGUUAUAACCAGGAUGACCAGCUUCAUGCAGUUGUGAAAGAAGAGGAGGAGUUUGAGCGUCAGUACAAUGACUGGAAGAAACAGUACGAUGAGUGGCGGAUUCAAAACAAAGAUCACCCAGAUCGACAACAAUUCAAGCAGUAUGAAAAUCAGUUUCUCGAAAUUGAAGCCAAAAUGGCAAUGAAGAGGAGAGAUAUACAGAACCGGAAGCACCAGAUUGAACUUAACAGGGGCAAUUCAAACUUCCAGAAUACUCCUCAGAGAUUUGACACCUCUUUCACCAGUAACAGAGAUGCCCAGUAUCUUAAGUCCAACCAAAACUUCCAGGGCGGUGGCAUGGGAGGUAGAGUUGGAAUUGGUGGUGGAACUGCUGGAGGAGGUGCAUGGCCUGGAGGAGGAGGAGGAGGUGGUGGUGGAGGAGGAGGAGGGCGUGCAGGAAUUUUAGGAGCAGCAGGAAGCGGAGGAGGUGCAGGGAUGGUAAGAGGUACUGGUGCUGGGAUUUUAGGAAGCGGAGGAGGAGGCCCUGGGAUUUUAGGAAGUGGAGGAGGAGGAGGCCCUGGGAUUUUAGGAAAUGGAGGAGGCGGCCCUGGGAUUUUAGGAAGUGGUGGUGCAGCAGGAGGAGGGGUUGGUGGUUGGGGACGAGGGGUUGGGAUUUUAGGGGGAGGAGGAGGGGGUUCUUGGGCAGGACGAGGAGGAGUUAGUGGUGCAGUAGGGGUUGGCAAUACUGGGGUAGGACGAAAUGUAGGUGCUGGGAUAGCUGGAGGAUUAGGGGGUGGGGUAGGAGUAGGUGCAGGGGCAGCAGGAGGUGUAGGCACAGGAGGAGGAAUAGGUGCUGGAUUGACAGGAGGAGGUGGUACAGGAGUAGGAAGAGGAGGAGGAGGGGCCAGUUCGGGGGUAGGGCGAGGUGUAGGUGCUGGGAUGGCUGCAGCAGGAGCCAGUCCCGGAGCAGGGCGUGGAGUAGGUGGUGGGAAGGCAGGAGAGGCUAGUCCUGGGGCAGGGCGUGUAGCAGGUCCUGGGAAGGCAGGAGAGGCUAGUCCCAGAGGGUUACUGGGAGUAGGGACUGAUGGGACAAAGGGGGGGCCUGGAGUGGCAUUAGGGGCAGGUAGUGAUAAUGUAAAAGGAGGAGGAAAUGAAGCAGUAAAAGGAGGUGUUGGGGUAGGAGGUGGAGCAAGAGGGGGGAACAUUGAGGCAGACAGUAAACAACAAGCCCCUAAAGCCACUGGUGGUGGUGGUGGUCAGACUGGCAAAGGUGCAGAAGAGUCAAAAUCCCCUGUUAAAGACAAUGCAAAAACACCUAGUGUUGACACUCCCAAAGACCCUACUCAGAGUAAUUUCAGCAGCCAGGACUUUAAUAAAGACAAGGAUACAAGCAUGGAUAUUGGACCUCCUGGUGCCAAUAACAACAGAUUUGGUGGACCGAAUCGCUUUGACAGCUCAAGAAACCAGUUUGAAGGAUCUCAGUUUCCCAUGGGCCCAGGCCAAGGGGGUCGAUAUGGCAUGCGUAACGAAGAGUCUGAUCAUAAUGUUGAAAGGCAAGGAAUGAAUAAAAAUUAUAGUUUCAUGGACUCUGAUAUGCGUACCCAAGGACCCAAUCAGAACCCUCAAUUUCCAGGUUUUCCCCGCGGUCCACCUCCAGACGACCGUGGUUUUGGACGAGGACCUCCAGGUUUUAAUUUCAACCAAGGACCAAGAGGUGGGCCCCGUUUCAAUCAGGGCCCACCUUUUGGCCCAGGGUUUAAUCAGGGACCCCCACGUGGACCUCCAAACCAAAACAGGCCAAUGUUGGAUCCUGGUGACAAUAGGAUGGGACCCCGUGAAAUGGAAAAUGUCGAGCCAUACGGGUUCACAUCACAGAGGAGGAGAGAGCCUUCGCCUAAUAGGCAAUCUUCUGAAAAUCAGUUUGGCUGCUUUCCUCCUCGAGAUAAUUCAGCCUGGGCCCAAGAAAAUUCUGGCAUAGCCAAGAAUCAGCCUAUGCCCAACAGAUCUCUGGAUGGCAAAAGUGACAAAAUGGAACCAUUAAAAGGAAGUGGAGAACCAAGUGCAAAGAUUCCAAGGAAAGAUGAUGAUAAAAGUGAGGCAGGGUCCGGUAAAUUAGAUGGACAACAAUGGCCCAAACAGGACUCUGAUAGUUCAUCAAAUGAACAACGCAAUUUGAAAGAUGGACCUCAAGAUUUUCAAAACAAGAUGCCUAUGAAGAAUGAUAACUGGGGGCAGCUUGACCCUGGGCAACCAUCUGGUGACCAAGGUCCAAACUUCAGAAAUCGUGGUCAACAACAGCCUUCACCAGGACCACCUCAGUUUGAAAGACCUCCAUUUAAAGGCCAAUGGGGUCAACAGAUGCAAAGAAUGGGACCGGGGCCAGGAUUCAGUGUGAAUCCCCCUCCUCCACCUAGAAUGUUAAUAAAUAUACGGCCUGAAUUCAAUCCGCGUAUUUGUCCUCCAGGUGGUGGUGGUGGUAUUGGUGGUAGUGGCGGCAGUGGCACAGGGCCGCCAUACCGAGAUAUGAUGAUGCGUGAUGGAGGUGUGGGCCCACCUUUUAGGGGUGACAAGGAAGGCGAACAGUUUAGCGAAGGCCCUGGUGAUAACAGACCAGAGGGCCGCAUGCCUCCUGAUUGCAGGCCUAAUUCUAUGGGGUUUCCUAAAAACCGUGAUGGAAACAUGGACUUCCCAGGUGCUGAUGAAAGGGAAAUGAUGGCAAUGGGCUCUGCGCGAAGAGGACGUGGUGGCAUGAUGAUGGCCCAACGGGGCGGAUUUCCUGGGCGCCCUAACCUACAACAAAGAGAUUGUCAUGAUAUGAACUUUCCCAAUAUGAACAGGGAUGAUGGAAAUUGUCGGACUGACUCCCUUCGGAAUGAUGCUCCACCAUUUAACUGGUCCGGUGAACCAAGAAUGAGCUCAAAAAACCAACUGGACAGUUGGAUGAACAGAGGAGAACGAGCACAGUGGGAAGAUAACAGAUGUGAUUUUGGCAAUAAUAAUAACAAUAACAACAAUAAUAAAAGUAACAACAACAACAACAACAAUAAUAAACCUUGGGGACAUCCUCAAGGCUCUCCUGCACCACCUGGAAGAGACAGAGACAUGGACCCUGCCUUUCAUAAAAUCUCUAACCCAGAUUUUUAUGAUCCCAUGAAUAGAGUGAAUAGGUUAGGAGAUAUGAACAACCGUCUUUAUAAUGCUGAUAGAUGUAACAGGCCCCCACCAGCAGCAAUGCCGCCUUCUAGAGACUUUAACCAUAACCGCUUUAAUUCAUCCUCCUCAGAUCAACAGUUUUGGAAUGAAAGAGAUCGGAACUUCCCACCCAAAGAAUUUGAUGUACAAAGGGGCAAUAGGCAUCCAAAUGAGAGAUUCCACCGUGGUGACUUUCUUCCUCCAUAUGGAGAAACGAUCGAUUAUGCACAUCGACCGGCCAGAGAAAUGUUUGAACCUGAUUCAGAUCUGGCUAGGAAUAAACCACCAGCUGUCUUUGACUAUGGUCACAAGCAUGCCAACUAUCUAGGACGACCAGAUCCAUCACGAGACAUGGAUUUUCAAGGGAACAAGAACUUACCUCCGGACCAUAUGAGGGGUGACCGAGGAAGGAUGUUUCCUGAGAAUGAGCACGGCGCUUUCCAAGGGAACUGGCUUCGCGAUGGUGACAGGCCACGCAACUGCGAUAAGGAAGACAUGAUGCGGGAUAUGGAAAGGAUGCGCAACAGGGACAGAGACAUCGACCUCAGAGAUCGAGAGUGUCGAGACCGAGAUCGUGGUCGUCCAAUCGCCCAUGAUAGCCGAGAAAGAGAGCGACUAAGGGAGCGAGACAAGUUCCGUGAUGGCCCAGGCGAUAGGGAGAGCUAUUUGAGAGGACGGGAGCGCAUGGAUGAGGAAGAUAAGUGGGCUGACCGUAAGCAUGAUGAUAGAAAGUAUGAUCGGGACUGCCGAGGAAGGUAUAACAGCCCAAACAGGGGUUAUCAUAAUACAGAACCCCCACACAUACGCGAUGCAUUCCCCAAAUCCCAGCUUCCCUCACAACCAGAAACGAAGGCUGAGGUUGUAUCUGCUGAUGACCUGUUGUGCAAGCCAGGACGAGACAAGCGCCCGCAUCAAGUGGUGGUGAUAAUUAGAGGCUUACCAGGCUCAGGCAAAACUUAUGUUAGCAAGUUAAUCAGAGAUAAAGAGACUAAUAAUGGUGGACCAGCUCCCAGGAUGCUGUGUAUGGAUGACUACUUUAUGGUGGAAGUUGAGAAAGUUGAAAAAGAUUCAGAGUCGAACAAAAUGAUUAAAAAGAAGGUUCUGCAAUAUGAGUAUGAACCUGAUCUUGAAGAGACAUAUAGGCAGAGUAUUCUGAAAAGCUUCAAAAAGACAAUUGAUGACGGUUUCUUCCCAUUCAUAAUUUACGACAGUGUUAAUGAGAAAGUCAGGCAUUUUGAAGAGUUUUGGAGCUAUGCAAAAUCCAAGGGAUUUCAGGUUUAUGUAGCGACUGUUCACUCAGAUGUUUCAACAUGUAUAAAACGCAACAUACACGGACGCACAAAACAGGACAUCAACAAGAUCCACAAGAACUGGGAGGAGACGCCAAAACACCAUAUACACUUAGAUAUUCGAUGUCUUCUUCAGGAUGCUGCUAUCCCAGAGGUUGAAAUGGAAGACACAUCAGAUGAGAAAACUAAAAAGGAUGCUACCCCACAAAAAGGAGAUGCUGAAGAGGAAGAUGAGCCUAUAGGACCAGUGGGUUAUAUUAAAAGUAAAUGGGAAAUUGAUGUAGGCGAUCAAACUGGACAAGUAAACGACCAAGUGCUGGGUACGAUGGGCCGAUAUGGAAGAACGUAAGCAACAAUUGCGCCGCCGAGAACUGGGAUUUGUGGUUGGCCAGACUCAGCAUGACUGGGACAAAAUUACUGACGAUAGUUAUGCUGAUAGGGCCUUAAACCGCACCAAAUACAUCUAGAAGAGGAAUCUCAAAAGCACAGAGAUAGCAGAUGAUUUGUUGACAGGAAAUGUCAACAAGCUGCAAUGAUUGCAAGCCAAUCACAAACAGUAAGAUUGAACUUUAAGCCACAUGGUUGAGAUGCAAACUUCUCAACCACACACCUAUGUUAUUUAAUAUAUCAUUUCCAAGGGCAGUGGAUAAUGGAGUCGGUCCGGUGCUACAUAUAAUAAUACCUAAUGGUAUUUUUCUUUCUUCAUUCUUAUGUCAUCAGGUCAACAAACAAUCUCUGAUGAUUUAGUUUACAAAUCCCAUGUGCUUGUCACAAAAUUUUCUUAUGAGAACACAGAGGUGGUUUCUUAAUGCCUUUCUUUGAGUAUUUUCUUACAAGACACCAUCUUGUUGACUAGAUAUAGACAAGUUUACCACUCAUGCAGGAGCAAUCGGGACAAAAUACCAAAUACUGCCAAGCAUUUUUUUGCCCGAUUCUGGACUGGUACUCUAAUUUAUUUAUUAAACCCAAAUGGAUGAAAAACAAAAUUGAAGUCAGCUGGGUUUGAACUCAGGAAGUUAAGAACCUGAAUAGAUAUUGUUUUGGUGUUUUGUCUGAUACCCUAACAAUUUUGCCAAUUUGUGGUAUUAAUGGUAUAUCAGUCACACCCAUCUGUGCUCUAGAUUCAAAUCUGACUUUGAUUGUGGUAUACUGACCAAAUACAUACUAACCAAAUAUUUAACCUUUCAAUAUUUAAACUGAUCAAGGUGGUGAGCUAGCAGAAUUGUUAGCAUGGUGGGCAGAAUGCUUAGUGGCAUUUUAUCUGUCCUUAAGUUCUAAGUUCAAAUUCUACCAAAGUUGACUUUGCCUUUCAUCCCUUUCAGGGUUGCUAAAGUAAGUACCGGUUUAGCACUGGAUUCCAUGUCAUCGACUUACCCCAAUCCCUUGGAAUUGCUGGCCUUGCGCCAAAAUUUGAAGUCAGUAUUUAAACUGGUCCUUACCUGUUUUAUGUACAAAUUGGCCAGAUCUGGCCUCUCACACCUUCCCUCCAGUGUCCUUCUAAAAACGAAAUCACAUCAUCGAAAUCUUGUAGCUGAGAUAAUGUACAAUUAACUCAAAACAGCGUGAAUAAAUAAGCAUUAUGUUCAACAGAUAAAUCAGAAAGCUGAAGGAUUAAAGCAUAGAGGGUUAUCAGUGUAAUUAACUAUAUACCCUAAUAAUGUGAUCUUAUGUGUUUUUUAGAAAUCGUCAUUAUUGUACCAUUUUUCAUAAGGAGAAUUCAGCUGCUGUUAACCUUUGUUGAUGCUGUUCUCCUACAUUUGCAGUGUAUACCACAGUCUAAAACCCAUAUAAAAUCCUAAGCAAUACCUGUAAAA
rnacentral:misc_RNA from 1 species